rnacentral:rRNA from 1 species
CCUACGGGGGGCAGCAGUGGGGGAUAUUGCACAAUGGGGGAAACCCUGAUGCGGCGACGCCGCGUGGGCGAAGAAGUAUUUCGGUAUGUAAAGCCCUAUCAGCAGGGAAGAAGAAAUGACGGUACCUGAGUAAGAAGCACCGGCUAAAUACGUGCCAGCAGCCGCGGUAAUACGUAUGGUGCAAGCGUUAUCCGGAAUUAUUGGGUGUAAAGGGUGCGUAGACGGAAGAACAAGUUGGUUGUGAAAUCCCUCGGCUCAACUGAGGAACUGCAACCAAAACUAUUCUCCUUGGGUGUCGGAGAGGA